GAUGAAGAACGCAGCGAAAUGCGAUAAGUAAUGUGAAUUGCAGAAUUCCGUGAAUCAUCGAAUCUUUGAACGCACAUUGCGCCCCCUGGCAUUCCGGGGGGCAUGCCUGUCCGAGCGUCAUUUCUGCCCUCAAGCACGGCUUGUGUGUUGGGUGUGGUCCCCCCGGGGACCUGCCCGAAAGGCAGCGGCGACGUCCGUCUGGUCCUCGAGCGUAUGGGGCUCUGUCACUCGCUCGGGAAGGACCUGCGGGGGUUGGUCACCACUAUAUUUUACCACGGUUGACCUCGGAUCAGGUAGGAGUUACCCGCUGAACUUAAGCAUAUCAAUAGCGGAGGA
rnacentral:misc_RNA from 1 species